UGCCAGACAUGCAGUGGGGACUCUCGAGACUGUGUCAGGCAGCCCCGGUCCCAUCCUUGCUCAGGCAGGGGAGAGGCUGCCGCUCGGGGGACCCUCCUGGCUCUGACCAGCUGGGACUCUGCAGGAUUUUUCUGAACGUGCAUCUAAAGAUAAAGGCUCUCCUUCAGGAAAAGGACCAAAAUCCCUUAAUUAUAGAGACGUUUGUGAAGGGCACAAAAGAUGCCCAAGCCGGAUGGGCUCUGAGCGUGCGGUGGAUUGACUUUGGCCAAGAGCCUCGUCUACCAAUGGAGGGCAGGGGCAACCUCUGUGGGCAGCCUGGCUCUGACCCGUCUGCAUGGGGCUCCUGGUUCCAUCUGCGGACUGCGUUGAGGACUUCGGGACCGUCCCCCUUUGUGGCCCUUAGCUGCAAUUAGUGGGCCUCACUGGCCUGUCUUGUGUGUUUAUACCUUUCUGCCCCUCAUAGUACUGGAUGUGGCUCUUUCCAUUUGUAUGUUUCCUGCACAUGGGCACUGCUGUUUUGAAAA